GAUGAACGCUGGCGGCGUGCCUAAUACAUGCAAGUCGAGCGAACAGAUAAGGAGCUUGCUCCUUUGACGUUAGCGGCGGACGGGUGAGUAACACGUGGGUAACCUACCUAUAAGACUGGAAUAACUCCGGGAAACCGGGGCUAAUGCCGGAUAACAUUUAGAACCGCAUGGUUCUAAAGUGAAAGAUGGUUUUGCUAUCACUUAUAGAUGGACCCGCGCCGUAUUAGCUAGUUGGUAAGGUAACGGCUUACCAAGGCAACGAUACGUAGCCGACCUGAGAGGGUGAUCGGCCACACUGGAACUGAGACACGGUCCAGACUCCUACGGGAGGCAGCAGUAGGGAAUCUUCCGCAAUGGGCGAAAGCCUGGCGGAGCAACGCCGCGUGAGUGAUGAAGGUCUUCGGAUCGUAAAACUCUGUUAUUAGGGAAGAACAAAUGUGUAAGUAACUGUGCACGUCUUGACGGUACCUAAUCAGAAAGCCACGGCUAACUACGUG
rnacentral:rRNA from 1 species